ACAAUUGUUUAGAAUAUAAGGCUUGUUUAGAAUGCAAGGCUUCCUCAAUUCUCCACCCUUCCCCUCUUGACAUCUUGCUCUUCUUCCCUUCAUCUAUUGUGUUAGUCAGGUGCAUGCUGGUCUUCCCUCUAUCAAACUGUAAGCUACUUGGAGACUUGGGAUGCCUCACUCAUCUCUAUUCCCAAACCUCAGGGUCUAUCAUUCUACCUUCUGUAUAGACAGGACUUUCAUAGUUUUGAACAAGUCAGAACCUGAAAGAAUUUGCUUCCAGAACAGGACAUUGACAGGAAAAUUAAGCAUGAUCAUGCCGAGUAAAAUAGGAAUAAGAAUUGGACCUACCUCAAGAUCUGUUGAGAAGAUUAUGAGAGAGCUGAUGGAUCUAAAAGAUUGGCGCUUGCUUUAACAACAACUGGUAAGAUCACUGAGCUGUAAACAGGACUCUGCACAUCCAAGCAACAGAGACUGCUUUCCUGCUGAGUUAUCCAUUUCCACACUACAGGAGAAUUAGUUUGAAGAGACCACCUGCUGUACACACGCGAUGCUUUAAAUAGACACAUCUGAACUAGAAGCUCUUGGUGUCUUAUAAUAAAGGAAAUUUGUGCUUUAGGACAACUUCCAAUAUGGCUGGGGUAAAUGUCAAUGGUGUGUAGUCUGUUGGGGGUCACAAUAUUGUUUACCUGGAUGUGACCCUCAUUGUCACUGAGGCUUAGGAAGGGUACAUGGUAAGGAUGAAGCAGAAAUGGUUUACAUCUAUUCUUAGCAGAGC
rnacentral:lncRNA from 1 species